rnacentral:rRNA from 1 species
UACAGAGGUCUCAAGCGUUGUUCGGAUUCAUUGGGCGUAAAGGGUGCGUAGGCGGCGCGGUAAGUCGGAUGUGAAAUCUCGGAGCUUAACUUCGAAACUGCAUUCGAUACUGCCGUGCUUGAGGACUGGAGAGGAGACUGGAAUUUACGGUGUAGCGGUGAAAUGCGUAGAUAUCUGGAGGAACACCGGUGGCGAAGGCGGCAUUCUGGACCAAUAUUGACGCUGAGGAGCGAAAGCCAGGGGAGCAAACGGG